UAGGUGGCAAGCGUUAUCCGGAUUUAUUGGGCGUAAAGGGAACGCAGGCGGUCUUUUAAGUCUGAUGUGAAAGCCUUCGGCUUAACCGGAGUAGUGCAUUGGAAACUGGGAGACUUGAGUGCAGAAGAGGAGAGUGGAACUCCAUGUGUAGCGGUGAAAUGCGUAGAUAUAUGGAAGAACACCAGUGGCGAAAGCGGCUCUCUGGUCUGUAACUGACGCUGAGGUUCGAAAGCGUGGGUAGCAAACAGGAUUAGAUACCCCGGUAGUCCUAG
rnacentral:rRNA from 1 species